CGCGUAGGCGGAUGUUUAAGUCGGGGGUGAAAGCCCGGGGCUCAACCUUGGAACUGCGUUUGUGACUGCAAGACUUGAGUGUCGGAGAGGUUGGCGGAAUUCCUAGUGUAGAGGUGAAAUUCGCAGAUAUUAGGAGGAACACCGAUGGCGUAAGCAGCCAACUGGACGACUACUGACGCUGAGAUACGAAAGCGUGGGGAGCAAACAG
rnacentral:rRNA from 1 species